UUCAGUAAUGUGUGCAGCUGUAAUUCACUGAGGAAAAUUACCUUAUGCACUACCCUUACAAACUAUCUUCCCAC